GAGGCAGAGCUUACUCGGCUCUUCCCUCCUCCGUCGGCCCAGAGCCCGGAGUGCGGCGCGGGAACUAAUGUUACCGAUUCGGAUCCCGAUCCCGAAAAGCGGCAGAAACAAACUUCUUAACACCGAUUCGUAGAUGUUGAAAAGGGCAUUCUUCUUUAUUCAGCGCACUGGACGUUCGGAGGAUAGCCCUCUAAUCGAACGCGCCAAAUGGCAGAUGGACAGGACUUUUUAUUACACGAGAAUUCGCCUUGAGGAGCAAUAACCGGAGGGUUCCGCUGCCGCCCCUCCUGGGGAUUGGCACCAGGGGCAUCUGUGCCCCGCACCCGUAUCGCCUGCUGACCCCCGGAGGACCGCUCCGGGAGACAACGGGUUUGGAAUAUGGUUUGUACUCGCUCUGCUGUGGGAGCAGUGGGAGACGCCGUCUGUGGUCGACUGUGGUGGAGCUGCAUCGGUUUUCCCGGAUGACUUGCUGUGUGUUGUGGUGGUGGCUUUUCUUUCUGCCCACCUAAGUAAGCCAAUUUCACAUUUUUUCCAAGCGUUCUUGCUGCCUCUUCUGCCCUGUGCACCCACAGAAACCUGAGUUGGUAGGUGCCUCAGAGGGGCCUUAAAGAGCUUGAUCCCUGUGCUGCACGGCCCUGGGUGCAAGCUCCCCACUCUCCACCCUGUAAUGAGUGAUUUAACUGCUCUGCUUUUCCCCCCAAAUCUGGGUGGAUUGAGGACAAGUAUCUUAAGUGGUGUUUCUCAACUUAAUCGGGGCAUCCUGUUUGUUCCUACCCCCCCUGUACUUUUUUAAGAGGUGCACCAUAUUAGUCUUGUUUUAAGAGCAUUAACUGCCUUUAAAAUGUGUGUUUUAUUUGUUUUGUGUGUAGCACAUGCGCACACACCCCUUUAUCUCCACACAUUGAUCUUGGCUGUUGGCAAAACCCACUUCAUAUCCCAAUGCCUUCAAUAAAGGACUCUGCAGCAAUGCUGGAA